rnacentral:tRNA from 1 species
CCCCGUGUGGCUCAGUUGGUAGGGCAUGGUGUUUGCAACGCCAGGGUUGUGGGUUCAAUUCCCACGGGGG